rnacentral:rRNA from 1 species
UACCAGCCCUCCGAGUGGCGUGGAUGUUUAUUGGGCCUAAAGCAUCCGUAGCUGGCUGGACAAGUCCCCUGUUAAAUCCACCGAUUUAAUCGUUGGUGUGCGGGGGAUACUGUUCGGCUAGGGGACGGGAGAGGCCGACGGUAUUUCCGGGGUAGGGGUGAAAUCCUAUAAUCCCGGGAAGACCACCAGUGGCGAAGGCUGUCGGCUAGAACGCGCCCGACGGUGAGGGAUGAAAGCUGGGGGAGCGAACCGGAUUAGAUACCCGGGUAGUCCCAGCUGUAAACGAUGCAGGCUAGGUGUUUGGGCGGCCACGUGCCGCUCUAGUGCCGCAAGGAAGCUGUUAAGCCUGCCGCCUGGGGAGUACGGCCGCAAGGCUGAAACUUAAAGGAAUUGGCGGGGAGCACCACAAGGGGUGAAGCUUGCGGUUU